CCCAGACUCCUACGGGAGGCAGCAGUGGGGAAUAUUGCACAAUGGGGGAAACCCUGAUGCAGCGACGCCGCGUGAGUGAGGAAGUAUUUCGGUAUGUAAAGCUCUAUCAGCAGGGAAGAAAAAAUGACGGUACCUGACUAAGAAGCACCGGCUAAAUACGUGCCAGCAGCCGCGGUAAUACGUAUGGUGCAAGCGUUAUCCGGAUUUACUGGGUGUAAAGGGAGCGCAGGCGGUACGGCAAGUCUGAUGUGAAAGCCCGGGGCUCAACCCCGGUACUGCAUUGGAAACUACCGGACUGGAGUGUCGGAGGGGUAAGUGGAAUUCCUAGUGUAGCGGUGAAAUGCGUAGAUAUUAGGAGGAACACCAGUGGCGAAGGCGGCUUACUGGACGAUCACUGACGCUGAGGCUCGAAAGCGUGGGGAGCAAACAGGAUUAGAUACCCUUGUAU
rnacentral:rRNA from 1 species